rnacentral:lncRNA from 1 species
AAAUAUUAAAAUCAACGAAAGCAAUAAAUGACGUUAUUUCAUUUCUUGAUUUCAAUUGCAAUGUUCACGGUUCAGCCACGUAGAGCUAAGGACCCAGAAUAGUAAACCAGCUUUACCAGUUUACCCCCUUCGAUCAACAGGAAAAAACGGUGAAGGAUAUCCUCUUUUGACGGAAAACAACCCGAUCUAUGGCAGUGUUCAAUAACACACCAACGCUUUUAUUUUCCAUCCCUUACCAGCAACAAAUGAGAUUGGUGAAGGAAACGCCUCUUCGGGUGGAAGUGAUUUCCGUUAAUUUCAAUAGGAUAUUGGGAUCGGAAAUUUGAGGCAACAAGCGAAAGACGGACAUAUAGCUAAAAAGGAAAGUGAGGCCGAUCAACUUAAUAGAGUCUUAAAUUGAAGAACGGUCCAGAGGAAGUCAUCAUUAUACCAGCAAAGGGAGUUUUUCUCAACCAAAACUCAAAGCCACCUCCUUCCGAAGUCAUCAACGGAAAAAGAUGGAAGGAAGAUGCCUUUAAAUUUAUUCCCCUUCUGUUAAUUAGUAGUUAGAGUUUAGGUGAGAGAAGUAAUUUUUUUUUUGGCAAUAAGUAAAGUAUUACGUUGAGAUAACUGCUUUGGAUAUGUG